ensembl:lncRNA
GAUCUCUUUGCAUCAUCCUGCUGGGUCUGUGUGGGUUUCUGAACUUGCUGCCAAAGUCCAGUGAUGUUCAUAUUAGGUUAAAUACUGAUUAUAAAACUGGACACUGUAUAGAAUGUGUUGUACAUGAUAUAAAUAAACAAAUGCAUCUUGUAGUCUAAAGUGGUUUAAGUGGUCAAUAAGAUUCCAUCAGAGCCAUCCCACACCCGAAAGGCAGGAUAUGAGUCUGUAAAGCCACUGCUGAUCUAGAUCAUGGCCCACUAAUCAAUGAGAUCAACCAUGAGCUAGCCACAGUGACAUUACUGUGCAUUAGUUGAUGCUAAAAAGCUUAGCUGUAAAGAUAGAUGUGUGAAAGUAGUCGUGAUUCACAUUAGCUGUAGGAAAAUGUUAUUGCAAAUAACAUUGGAGAAGCGCAUACAGGGAGAUGCUUGGCCAGUAACAGAGUCAGGCUUUUGCAAGUUGACAGUUUGUACCAGUAUGAUAUGUGCUAACUGUGUUUCUUUAUCUUUUGGUUUUAUUGUAUUUUUAAAUCACAAGGUUUUUCUGCAGAAUUUUUUUUAUUUUUUUCCAUUUGAUAUUGAUUUCAAACGGUCUCUGCCAUGUAUUUAUGAUUUUUUUUAAUGGCUUGGCUACUAAUAGACAAGAAUAUUAUGUUUAUAUUAUUUAUAUAUUAUUUAAAGAUGAAUUUUUAUUUAAAAACUUACAAAUAUAGACAUCUCAAAAUUGUAUACACACUUACUGUAAGUUAUGUGAUAUAGACAAGUACUAUAAAAACAGCAGCAACUGUUUUUCGAAAAUAUUUGUAAGGUUGUGUUAUUUUGGCCAUUUUGAUGUGCUUGUCCUGACGAGAGUGGCAUAGUUUCUGUUGCAGGUCUUCUUCCUGUCACUCAGGAUUUGGAAUUAUUAGGAAACAUAGUGUUUACCUAUGCAAAUGGGUCUUGAACUGUUCUUUAAAAGUUUCAGUUGACUAAUUAGGCUGUACAUUGUGGAGGCGAUUCCUCUCAAAUAUAGAUAAAAUAAC